ACUAAACAGGAUUCUCUUAGUAACUGCGAGUGAACAGAGAUUAGCCCAAUAUCGAAGCUCACAAGCAUAUUGUUUGUUGAGCAAUGUGAUAUUAAGAUGCUUGCUAACGUAUAGUGGCCGACUUGAAGUCCAAAUUUGAAUGUGGCAUGUUGGUAUAAACCCCAAAGAUGGUGAAAGGCCCGUUCAAGUUGGUAAUCAGAUGUGACAUUAUACGUAUAUGCAUUCAUCAUGGAGUCGGAUUGCUUGAGAGUGCAGUCCAAAGUUGGUGGUAAACUCCAUCUAAGGCUAAAUACCUGUACGAGUCCGAUAGUUAACAAGUACCGUGAGGGAAAGUUGAAAAGUACUCUGAAGAGAGAGUAAACAGUACGUGAAACUACUUGGAGGUUAAUCAGAUAGAGUCAAGCUGCUU
rnacentral:rRNA from 1 species